ACUGUUGGAAAGUCAACAAGAUUCAUCUUCAAGUUGAGAUGCAAAUGUGAUCUUACACAUUAGAGCAUCUUGGAAAAACAAAAUACAUAAUAUUAUAUUAAGAAAAAAUGAAUAGCGGUUAUAAACAUACAACACAAUUGAUAUCAGUCGACAAUCUUUGUCCCUGACAAUACCUUCUCCACCACACUUAUCAUUUCUACAAUUGCAAUUAGCCUUUAUUUUGACACGCCUUCCUGUAGUUAAGAUUCAGUGUACAAAAUUAGUCUUCUCGGCACUAAUCUGUCUUUCCAAAUUACAAGUUAUCUCCUCCCAAUUGUGUGCCAAGUUGAUCUUUUAGAACUUGCAUUUUCUACUUCAUUUAGAGUAAAAGAAAUGUUGCUUAACUUCUCAGU
rnacentral:misc_RNA from 1 species